UACGAAGGGUGCGAGCGUUGUUCGGAAUUAUUGGGCGUAAAGGGUUCGUAGGCGGGAAGAUAAGUUGGAUGUGAAAUCCCCAAGCUCAACUUGGGACGUGCAUUCAAAACUAUUUUUCUUGAAUAUUGGAGAGGGAAGUGGAAUUGCUGGUGUAGGAGUGACAUCCGUAGAGAUCAGCAGGAACACCGGAGGCGAAAGCGACUUCCUGGCCAGAUAUUGACGCUGAGGAACGAAAGCGUGGGGAGCAAACAGG
rnacentral:rRNA from 1 species